UAAGCCAUGCAUGUCUAAGUAUAAACGAUUUAAUCGUGAAACCGCGAAUGGCUCAUUAUAACAGCUAUAAUUUACUUGAUCUUGACACAAUCCUACUUGGAUAACUGUGGUAAUUCUAGAGCUAAUACAUGCAUUAAAGCUCUGACCUCACGGGAAGAGUGCAUUUAUUAGAACAAAACCAAGCGGCUUCGGCUGUUUCUGGUUGACUCAUAGUAACUGAGCUGAUCGCAUGGUCUUGCACCGGCGACGUGUCUUUCAAGUAUCUGCCGUAUCAACUUUCGAUGGUAGUGUAUCUGACUACCAUGGUGAUCACGCGUAACGGAGAAUAAGGGUUCGGCUCCGGAGAGUUCGCCUGAGAAAUCGCGAACACAUCUAAGGAAGGCAGCAGGCGCGAAAAUUACCCACUCUCAGCACGAGGAGGUAGUGACGAAAAAUAACGAGACCGUUCUCUUAUGAGGCCGGUCAUCGGAAUGGGUACAAUUUAAACCCUUAUCGAGUAU
rnacentral:rRNA from 1 species